rnacentral:rRNA from 1 species
UCGAGCGCCCCGCAAGGGGAGCGGCGCAAGGGUGAGUAAGGCGACGGUAACCAACCCCACGAUUGGGAAUAGCCGCGGGAAACUGCGGGUAAUGCCCAGCGACGUCUUCGGGAGGCAUCUCUCGAUGACCAAAGCUCCGGCGUCGUGGGACGGGCCGUCGUGGUAUUAGCUAGUUGGCGGGGUGACGGCCCACCAAGGCUGCGAUGCCUACCGGGCGUGCGAGCGUGGCCCGGCACACUGGGACUGAGACACUGCCCAGACUCCUACGGGAGGCUGCAGUCGAGAAUCUUCGGCAAUGGGCGCAAGCCUGACCGAGCGACGCCGCGUGGAGGACGAAGGCCUUCGGGUUGUAAACUCCUGUCGAGGGGGAGGAAGGCGCAAGCUUGACCGAUCCCUGGAGGAAGCACGGGCUAAGUUCGUGCCAGCAGCCGCGGUAAGACGAACCGUGCGAACGUUAUUCGGAAUCACUGGGCUUAAAGCGCGUGUAGGCGGGCCGGCACGUCGGUCGCUGAAAUCCCCCGGCUCAACCGGGGAAGUGGCACCGAUACGACCGGCCUGGAGGGGGGUAGGGGGCGCUGGAACUCACGGUGGAGCGGUGAAAUGCGUUGAGAUCGUGAGGAACGCCCGCGGCGAAAGCGAGCGCCUGGACCCUUUCUGACGCUGAGACGCGAAAGCCAGGGGAGCGAACGGGAUUAGAUACCCCGGUAGUCCUGGCCGUA